rnacentral:rRNA from 1 species
GUAGAGGCGAUUGAACAGGGAAAAGCACAAAGUGUAAAUCUGAUCUUCGGAUCCGAAUUGUAGUCUUUAGACGCGUUACCAGGUUGUCUGCGGGGUAAAUUCCUCUUGAACGAGGAACCAUAGAGGGUGAAAGUCCCGUUUAUGCUUCGCAACGACAGCUGUACGGUACGUGCUCAGAGAGUCGCGUUCUUUGGGAAUAGAGCGCUAAGUGGGUGGUAAAUUUCAUCUAAUGCUAAAUAUUGGUGGGAGACCGAUAGCGAACAAGUACCGUGAGGGAAAGAUGAAAAGAACUUUGAAAAGAGGGUUAAAAGUACCUGAAAUUGCUGGUAGGGAAGCGGAUUGUAUUGUCCUGGUUAGGAGAUAUGUUAUAUGAGAAGGUUGAAACCGAGUGUACACCGCAAGGGUAUUGCUUGAUGUAGGCCCAUUGUGUGACUGUCAGUCUCCUAGCUUCAGUCUGCGUCAGUUGUGAUUGUGUAAAAACCCUGUCUUGCUUAGCUUCGGUUAAGUAAGGGAGACGGUCGACACGAAUGCUACUGAAGUCAUGA